rnacentral:misc_RNA from 1 species
UUAACCCUCAUCUUUACAUUUUUUGUUGAGAUGGAUUUGGAUGUUUGCCGUCGUUGGCUCGUCCUGAAAUGCAUUAGCCUUUGUUAAUCGUCUUUGACGACCUGACGGUGUGAUAAGUUAUCUACAUCGUUGCACGUCUCUGGCAAAUACGAGGCUUAUAAUCGUCCUUGACAAUUAUUCUAAG